UGGUUCCAUGUGAUGAUAACAUAGUUCAAAUGAUAUUCAAUACAUGAUUAUAAUCUAUCUUUCGCCCCUAUCUGAUGGAACUU